rnacentral:rRNA from 1 species
AACGAACGCUGGCGGCGUGGAUAAGACAUGCAAGUCGAACGCGAUUUUCCCGGUUAGCAAUAAUUGGGAAAGUUGAGUGGCGAAUGGGUGCGUAACACGUGGGAAUUUACCCGGAAGUGGGGGAUAGCUCGUCGAAAGGCGAAUUAAUACCGCAUGUGCCCGUGAGGGCAAAGUGGGGGACCGCAAGGCCUCACGCUACCGGAGGAGCCCGCGUCCUAUCAGCUAGUUGGCGGGGUAACGGCCCACCAAGGCGAAGACGGGUAGCUGGUCUGAGAGGACGACCAGCCACACUGGAACUGAGACACGGUCCAGACACCUACGGGUGGCAGCAGUCGAGGAUUUUUCUCAAUGGGGGCAACCCUGAAGGAGCGACGCCGCGUGGAGGAUGAAGGGCUUCGGCUUGUAAACUCCUGUCACCGACGAACAAGGCAUCCGGUUGAACAUUCCGGGUGAUUGAUGGUAGUCGGAGAGGAAGGGGCGGCUAACUCUGUGCCAGCCGCCGCCGUAA